rnacentral:rRNA from 1 species
AAAGAUUAAGCCAUGCAUGUGUAAGUAGAGUGAUUAAAAGCGAAACUGCGAACGGCUCAUUACAACAGAUAUAAUCUACUUGUUAUUUUCAAUUUAAAAGGAUAACUGCGGUAAUUCUGGAGCCAAUACUUGCUUAAAGCCCAAUUCAGCAAUGAGUUGGGUGCAUUUAUCGGCGCAAAAUCAAUCUUGAUUCUUGCUAACUCUAGAUAACCAUGCUGAUCGCACGACUUUAUGUUGGCGACAUUACAUUCGAGUAUCUGCCUUAUCAACUAUCGUUGGUAGUGUAUUGGACUACCAUGGUGUUGACGGGUAACGGAGAAUCAGGGUUCGACUCCGGAGAGGGAGCCUUAGAAACGGCUACCAUGUCUAAGGACAGCAGCAGGCGCGCAACUUAUCCACUGUUCAUCGAACGAGAUAGUGACGAGAAAUAAAAAACCCGUUCUCUUUGAGGUCGGGUAUUGGAAUGGAUGAAAUCUAAACAAUUUCAUGAGUACCCACGAGAGGGCAAGUCUGGUGCCAGCAGCCGCGGUAAUUCCAGCUCUCGUAAUGUAUAGAAUUAUUGUUGCGGUUAAAAAGUUCGUAGUUGGAUUUCCUACCACUCGCGGGUUGGGCUUAACGGCUUAUACUCGCAGUGGUUGAUUGUCCACUGGGGGCUUGCUCCCAUUGGAUGGAUUACUUUGAACGGCUUAAGUGCUCAAGGCGAGUCUUCGGACUGAAUACCGGUGCAUGGAAUAACGGAACAAGGUUUUGGCCGAGUUUUAUUGGUUUUGUCGGCCGAAACAAUGGUUAACAGGAACAGCUGGGGGCACUCGUAUUGCGGCACGAGAGGUGAAAUUCGUGGACUGCUGCAAGACGCCCAAAAGCGAAGGCAUUUGCCAAGAGUGUUUUCAUUAAUCAAGAACGAAAGUCAGAGGUUCGAAGGCGAUUAGAUACCGCCCUAGUUCUGACCGUAAACGAUGCCAACUAUCAAUUCGCCAGUGGCUUUCAGUCAUUGGCGAGCGGAUCGACGGAAACGAAAGUUUUUCGGUUCCGGGGGAAGUAUGGUUGCAAAGCUGAAACUUAAAGGAAUUGACGGAAGGGCACCACCAGGAGUGGAGCCUGCGGCUUAAUUUGACU